AGCAGCCGCGGUAAUUCCAGCUCCAAUAGCGUAUAUUAAAGUUGCUGCAGUUAAAAGCUCGUAGUUGAAUUUCGGGACUAAUAUGUCGGUCGUGCCUCGGUACGUACUGGCUUAUUGGUUUCUCCUUUCUGAAGAACCAUGAUGUCAUUUAUUUGGUGUCGUGGGGAAUCAGGACUGUUACUUUGAAAAAUUAGAGUGUUUAAAGCAGGCUCACGCUUGAAUACAUUAGCAUGGAAUAAUGAAAUAGGACGUUUGAUUCUAUUUUGUUGGUUUCUAGGAUCGACGUAAUGAUUAAUAGGGAUAGUUGGGGGCAUUAGUAUUCAAUUGUCAGAGGUGAAAUUCUUGGAUUUAUUGAAGACUAACUACUGCGAAAGCAUUUGCCAAGGAUGUUUUCAUUAAUCAAGAACGAAAGUUAGGGGAUCGAAGACGAUCAGAUACCGUCGUAGUCUUAACCAUAAACUAUGCCGACUAGGGGUCGGAUGAUGUUAAUUUUUUAAUGUACUCAUUCGGCGCCUUACGG
rnacentral:misc_RNA from 1 species